GGAAGGAAAGGCUGGAGAACAGCUGAGGAGAGAUGAUGGUAGAGGUGAGGCACUAGACUAGAGGACAGGAAGGAAAGGCUGGAGAACAGCUGAGGAGGGAUGAUGGUAGAGGUGAGGCACUAGACUAGAGGACAGGAAGGAAAGGUUGGAGAACAGCUGAGGAGAGAUGACGGUAGAGGUGAGGCACUAGACUAGAGGACAGGAAGGAAAGGUUGGAGAACAGCUGAGGAGGGAUGACGGUAGAGGUGAGGCACUAGACUAGAGGACAGGAAGGAAAGGCUGGAGAACAGCUGAGGAGAGAUGACGGUAGAGGUGAGGCACUAGACUAGAGGACAGGAAGGAAAGGUUGGAGAACAGCUGAGGAGGGAUGACGGUAGAGGUGAGGCACUAGACUAGAGGACAGGAAGGAAAGGCUGGAGAACAGCUGAGGAGGGAUGACGGUAGAGGUGAGGCACUAGACUAGAGGACAGGAAGGAAAGGCUGGAGAACAGCUGAGGAGGGAUGACGGUAGAGGUGAGGCACUAGACUAGAGGACAGGAAGGAAAGGCUGGAGAACACCUGAGGAGUGAUGACGGUAGAGGUGAGGCACUAGACUAGAGGACAGGAAGGAAAGGCUGGAGAACAGCUGAGGAGGGAUGACGGUAGAGGUGAGGCACUAGACUAGAGGACAGGAAGGAAAGGCUGGAGAACAGCUGAGGAGGGAUGACGGUAGAGGUGAGGCACUAGACUAGAGGACAGGAAGGAAAGGCUGGAGAACAGCUGAGGAGGGAUGACGGUAGAGGUGAGGCACUAGACUAGAGGACAGGAAGGAAAGGCUGGAGAACAGCUGAGGAGGGAUGACGGUAGAGGUGAGGCACUAGACUAGAGGACAGGAAGGAAAGGCUGGAGAACAGCUGAGGAGGGAUGACGGUAGAGGUGAGGCACUAGACUAGAGGACAGGAAGGAAAGGUUGGAGAACAGCUGAGGAGGGAUGACGGUAGAGGUGAGGCACUAGACUAGAGGACAGGAAGGAAAGGUUGGAGAACAGCUGAGGAAAGGUUCCUGUGGUGUCCUGCCAUUGAUGAUGAUGACAAGCAGAGAGGAGACUAAAGUCGCUAACCAAUAGAUCCUAUAGGAUAGUAGGCAUGGAGAGUUCCCUUUAAACUACCAGGAUAGUUGGCAUGGAGAGUUCCCUUUAAACUACCAGGAUAGUUGGCAUG